rnacentral:tRNA from 1 species
GGCCAAAUGCAAGCGGUGAGUGAAGGGCCUUCGGGCUCAUAACCCGAAGAUCGCAGGUUCAAAUCCUGUCCCUUGGCCG